rnacentral:misc_RNA from 1 species
AGAAUUUCCCUCAUUAUCAGUGUUACUAGAGUAACUAAUUGAUUCCCGAGGAUCAAAGAAAUCCUCAGUAUCAACAUCCCUUUCUGAAUUCAAUGCAACAUCCUUCAGCACAUCCAUUUCCAUGGCCAAGCCAUUCAUAGCAUUUCUACUUUUAAAUUCCCCAUUACUGCCUCCUAUUUCACCAUCAUGGACACCGUUCAUAUGCUCCCCUUCACUAGAGGCCUCAUGGGCACCGUUUACAAUCUCUCCUGUAAUCGGUGGACUAUCCUGGACACCAUUUACAUGCCUCCCUUCAAAAUCAGAAAUGGCAAAAGUAACAGUACGAUCUCUAGCUGAAUCCACAACGUUAUUUUCUGAACCCUUGGCGCUCCCAUUCAUCUCAUCCAAAGUUUUCCUGCGAGAAGCUACGUCAUCCUCAGAAAAGCUCUUCAAAAGGCGUGGCCCACGCCGCUUGUGGUUAAUGAUAUAUGGUGAAGGAGUGAAUGAAGAUGGUGAAUCAGGGAGUGGGGUUACUUCAGGAGUUGCAUAGAGUGCUGGAGAUAUCUGAGGGCAACUAACUUUCCUCUCUGUGGCUGAUGUAUUAUUUCUUCUCUCCAGUUUUGAAUUAGGCACAGGUCUUGUUUUUGGGGGAAAAUUUGGUUUUGGAACAGGGUUUGAACUAGGAACAGACUUGUCAACAG